GACGAACGCUGGCGGCGUGCCUAAUACAUGCAAGUCGAGCGAAAGGAUCAGAAGCUUGCUUCUCUGAUGUUAGCGGCGGACGGGUGAGUAACACGAGGGUAACCUACCUAUAAGACGGGGAUCACCUCGGGAAACAGGAGCUUAUACCGGAGAAUAUUUUGAACCGCAUGGUUCAUAAGUGAAAGACGGUCUUGCUGUCACUUAUAGAUGGAUCCGCGCUGCAUUAGCUAGUUGGUAAGGUAACGGCUUACCAAGGCAACGAUGCAUAGCCGACCUGAGAGGGUGAUCGGCCACACUGGAGCUGAACCACGCUCCAUACUCCUACGGUAGGCCGCAGUAGUGAAGCGGCCGCAAUGGUCGAAAGCCUGACGGAACAACCCCACGUGAGUGAUGGUGAUCUUCGGAUCGUAAUACUCUGUUAUUGGGGAAGAACAGAUGUGUAAUUAACUGUGCACAUCUUGACGGUACCUAGUCAGAAAGCCACGGCUAACUACGUG
rnacentral:rRNA from 1 species